UUGACGGUGAAGUCCCACUCGUCGGCCGACCCGGCGAGCACCUCGUUGCCGAAGUAGGCGCCCUCGGCGAGCACGUCGAGCACGACCGGGUCGCCGUAGGAGCCGGUGCCCAGUUUCUGGACCUUUCCGUGCGCCAGCAGGAACAGCCGGUCACGCGCCUGGCCCCGCUCGACGAUCACCUCACCCGGCUCGAAGCGCUGCUGGGUGAACCGUUGGGCCAGCGCGUCGAGGGCCGCGUCGUCGGUGAACUCGCGCAGCAGCGGCAGCUCGCGCAGUUCCGCCGGGACGACCCGGAUGUCGUCGCCGACGUUGACGAAGGUGAGCCGGCCGUCGCCGACGGUGAGCGUGAGGCGGCGGUUGACCCGGUAGGUGGCGCCCUUGGCCUCGACCCACGGCAGCAUGCGCAGCAGCCAGCGCGGGGUGAUGCCGCGCAUCUGCGGGACGGUCUUGGUGGUGGUGGUGAGGUUGCGUGCGGCCUCGGUGCCGAGGCUGCGGCGGAUCGUGG
rnacentral:antisense_RNA from 1 species